rnacentral:lncRNA from 1 species
CUCCCUGCUCAGUGGAGAGUCUGCUUUUCCCUCUGCCACUCCCCUGGUCAUGCGCUCUCUCACUUUCUCAAGUAAAUACAGAAACAUUUUGUAUAAAAAUAAUGGUGACUCAGUACAUUGCACCUUCUCUACAAGGAGAUGUUGGCUUCAGGAAGGGGCUCAGAAAUAGCAUACAAUUCUAAUUCCCAAGAUUUGAUAGCUAGAGAGGGAGAGCCCUGGGGCAGGGAGAGUUCUUCUUUCACCCUUAUGGGGUUGAGUACAUCAAGCAUAUCAGGAAACCCACUCUCAUUCUUCAGAUGGCCCACUCCCAGGGAGCCCUCAGAUUGAUGGAGAGAGCAGCUGGUGACCACAUCUGAGGUCCCUGCCAUGGUCUAGUCUACCUUUUAGCUCACCUCUGCUCUGAAUCCCAGCCCUGCCACAUCCCAGCUGGGUGGUCAUAGGCAAGUUGCUCAGCCUCUCUGAGGCUUAGGUGCUCAUGUGAACAAUGGGCAUUGGGCCUUCCUUGGAGGCUUGUUGUGAGAUGGAUUAGUCAAUGCAUAUUCCCCAAGGGCUCAUGGAUGGUACUUGGUAAACGUGAGUUGUCCCUUGAGCUGCUCUCUAACAUAUGCCUCCAGUUUUUUCUGCUUCUAACCCUGGUCUGGGUAUCUACUAAUCUGGGCACAUGUGCUGUGCCAUGUCUGCCCCACCUCUCCUGCCACACUAUCAUUCCCCUCAGAGUGAUGAGAAGUGACACUCAUAGCAGCUGCCAAGCUGUGUGGGCAAGCACCUGGCCCCGCAGGCAGGUAUGGCCAUUCUUCUCUCUUCUGCCCCACAGGAUUCUUAGUCUUGCUCUCCUUUUAUGCCCUUCACCACAACCCGAAUGUGUGGCCAAACCCAGAGGUGUUUGACCCUUCCCACUUUGCACCAGAUGCCUCUCGACACAGCCAUGCUGUCCUGCCCUUCUCAGGAGGAGCAAGGUGAGGCACUUGUACUGGGAUGGGAGGAGAGGGCUGUUUACUAGGAACAUUCCUGUUGUUUGUCACUUCCUACAUUUCCAUGGGUGUUGCAGAUAUGCCCUGACAUGUUGGUGUGCUGGCAAAGAGGUGUGUGUCUCUAUGCACGAAAGACAUUUGGUAAUCACUGCAGGGUAUGGAAACUUUGACACAUUUGUCUCACUCAGUCUCCAGCCACAGUUUAGUGUCAGUGGCUAUUCAAUGGCUCGAGGCAUUCUUGUGAUUUCUUCACUUUAUGAGAGUGACUUUAGUACUGGACAUUGUCACAUGCAGUUUUCAAGUGUUGUCAAAGUCAAAUCAGGGUAUAAUAAAAAGAUUUCUUUUGCACACAUUCUCAAACCAGCCCCUCUCCCCACUCUACCCUAACACUGCACCGAUGCCUAGGUGCAUGUGUUUCCGUCCUCAGCUGCCUCACGUCUGAAAUAUUUAAGCCUACAGAGGAAAAUUUCCUGCGAUCUCUUAAGGCCCUCAGAAGUAUUCAACUUGUGUCUCCAGUAUUUUUGCUUCUAUUCAAAAGAAUUUUGGACUGCAUGGAAAUGAUCAUGAAUACUUGACAGUUUUCUCCGUUGUGAAAUCAGUACAUACUGGGCUCUACAUACCUGAAUAUUACACUUUGAGUCCAAUUAUCCAAUAAGCAAGUAUAUAAAAUGAGGAUAUUAAAUGGCUUUUGAGAGAAAAUCCAUGGUUUUGUAUAUGUACAUGACAAGUGGCAUUUGAAAGUUCAUGGCAUAUGAAAUAGAAAGGACACUUGAAAUGGCUGUUCAGCUGCAUGACUAUUCUCCUGAGUGAAAUCCUCCUGGGCUGCUGAAAUUGUCCUAUAAAUCAUAUAUAGUAACUUCUGUAAACUUUUUAAGUAGUUAUUAGAAAAAUUCAUUUUAGCAAAUAUAUGAAUCUUCAGUCCUUCUGAACUAAGUGAAUCUACUCUCCAGAAUAGGCUUUAAGCAAACUAUUCUCCAGAUACUGGGCCAGGAUUUGGUUUCCUCCUGGGAUUACCUCCUUCCUCCUAGACAUUGGUGCAAGUCAUGUGGUUAUCACUAGAGAUAGGAGAGGGGUAGACAGCUCAAUUCCUAGCUCAGAACUAAUGGAGACUUCUGUUUAUUCCUUUCUGCUUUCCUAUUCAAUUCGGUAAACCUCAUUCAAUAUCUAAGAAUAAUUAUUAAGCUGGACUCUGUGCCAAGCCUAUGCUAUGAGAUGGGAAACUGCCCUUGGUUCAGGGAGUUCUCAGUCAAGAAAUAAAUCCCUCUACUCAAAAGAGACACCAUGCAUUCAUUCUUUCUUGCCCUCACUCAUUUACUAAUUGACCCUACAGCAGGACGUUCUGUAUUUCUGGCACUGUCCUGUACUGGAAAGUGACGUGUCCUUGAGUAAAAUACCAUGUGAUUCAGGGUCCAGGAAUGAAGAGGUACAGCCAAUGGUGGGUGGGUUGUGUGUGGGGGGGCUGAAGGCAGAGUGGCAUUGCCCUUAGCCUUGGGCAUUUGCCGGGCAGAGGUAGAGAGAGGGCAUUCUCUUGGAUAUCCUCAACAGGAGGUGGGCUGGGAGAAAGAACUGGAUAGGUGACAGGUGAAUGUGCCAACAACCCAGAGAGGGCUUUGAUGCU